GUGCUAGCUUCAGCAGUACAUAUACUAAAAUUGGAAUGAAACAGAGAAGAUUAGCACAGCCCCUGCACAAGGAUGACAAGCAAAUUUGUGAAGCAUUCCAUAUUUAA